CGGGGAGCUAGGGCUUCAACCUAUGGCUUUUGGGGGAUACAGUUCAGUCCAUAGCAGUGGGGAAAGGAUGUGACUCAGUCUAGAGAGACUCAAGGAGGGAAUGCUUAGAUAGGAGCAUGGAGGGCGUGCCUGGUGAAGGGAACAGUAUGGCACAGCUUCAGAGGCAAGGGUGAGCCAGCAGCAAGGGGCUGGCUAUGGCCGGUACAAAAAGCAUGUGCUCGUGGGAAAUAGGCACCAAAGAAGGCCCAGAGAGGUUUAACAACUUCCUCAGAAUCACACAGCUUCCAAAUGGUUGGGUUGGGUUUACAUUUAGGCGGUCUUGCUCCAGAGCCAGUGCUCCUAACCUUUGCAAGCCACGAACCUCAAGAAAGUGGAGAAGGAAACGCUGGGAAAUCUGGAAGUCAGACAUGGCAAGUUUUUCUCACUGUAAGAAGAGGACAAUAGCCUAUGAUCUACAGUGCCCAUUCCAACUCAGAGAAUCUUUACAUCUGGAGAUCUAUAGCAGGGCUAUCCCUAGUGACAUGCGUGAAGAAGCUUGGAAAUGGUGCUGGGUAGGAGCUGAGUGUGCAGAAUGUGGAAAGGCAUUCUAAACCAAAGGAAGAACACGAGUAAAGAUGAUGAAGCAGGGAUAAGGCUAAAAUGAAAUUUGUGAUCUGAUCCACAUACAAGCACAGUGUAGUACAGCUGGAAUAUAGAGAAGAGCUUGAAGACUUAUGAGCAACUAUCCCGGUACUCUUGGAGGCUCUGCAACCACAGUUUGAGAAACUCCGCGUUCAAAGUUAAAAACUGUCACCUGAAUAGUUAAUAACAUCAAAGAUUGUGAAAGCAAGUAUAAAUAACACAGAGAUUAAAAUAAUGAGGCAGGAUCAG
rnacentral:lncRNA from 1 species